rnacentral:tRNA from 1 species
UAGAGGGUAGUAUACGGUUGGAAGUACAUAAAAUUUUGAAUUUUGCAGUGCGGGUUCGAGUCCCGGGCCUCUAA